ensembl:lncRNA
UAGAGGUUCUGGUACCAUCCUACUACACUACAUACACCACUGAUCCUACUGUAGAGGUACUGGUACCAUCCUACUACAUAUACCACUGAUCCUACUGUAGAGGUUCUGGUACCAUCCUACUACAUACACCACUGAUCCUACUGUAGAGGUUCUGGUACCAUCCUGUUACACUACAUACACCACUGAUCCUACUGUAGAGGUUCUGGUACCAUCCUACUACACUACAUACAUCACUGAUCUACUGUAAUCCGUAGAGGGUUGACAGUCUACUGUAAUCCGUAGAGGGUUGACAGUCUACUGUAAUCCGUAGAGGGUUGACGGUCUACUGUAAUCCGUAG